UACGUAGGGUGCAGGCGUUAAUCGGAAUUACUGGGCGUAAAGCGUGCGCAGGCGGUUUCUUAAGUCAGAUGUGAAAGCCCCGGGCUUAACCUGGGAACUGCGUUUGAAACUAGCGGGCUUGAGUGUGGCAGAGGGGGGUGGAAUUCCACGUGUAGCAGUGAAAUGCGUAGAGAUGUGGAGGAACACCGAUGGCGAAGGCAGCCCCCUGGGUCAACACUGACGCUCAUGCACGAAAGCGUGGGGAGCAAACAGG
rnacentral:rRNA from 1 species